UACGGAGGGUGCAAGCGUUGUCCGGAUUUAUUGGGUUUAAAGGGUGCGUAGGCGGUUUAUUAAGUCAGUGGUGAAAGACGGUCGCUCAACGAUUGCAGUGCCAUUGAUACUGGUAGACUUGAGUAUGAUUGAGGUAGCUGGAAUGGAUAGUGUAGCGGUGAAAUGCAUAGAUAUUAUCCAGAACACCAAUUGCGUAGGCAAGUUACUAAGUCAUAACUGACGCUGAGGCACGAAAGUGUGGGUAUCAAACAGGAUUAGAAACCCCCGUAGUCC
rnacentral:rRNA from 1 species